CCAUGUGAAAAGAGCAGAGAAACAGAGCUUGUUCAGCUUAGGAAGAGAAAAAAAAGUCUUCAAAUACUUCAAAUUUAGAUGCAGAGAUGUAGGGAGUGUUGUCCACGUGCCCUGGAGAUCAGAGAAGAAGGAACAGACUUAAAGUGCAAGACAAAGAUUUAGAUUAAACACCACAAAAAUAUCUCUAAUGGUGAGGAGGCCCGAGUCUCGGCGUACAUCAUCUGCACAGGAUGUGAACUGCCAGCAGGAAGAGCCUUAAAAGAAGAAACAUUACUCAGGGAGGGUUUAGCUGUGUACCUGACCUUACGCCCGGGUUGGGAAACAAUGAUGACAUCUCUGGAGGUCCUCUCUAGAUACACUGUGCCUGAGGCUAUGAAACAAAGUCUCAGAUAUUUAAUAUCUAAUUUAAAGGUAAAUUAGAUACACCACAAGGACACAAGCCCCAGACCACCCACAUCCUAGUCUGAAACACAGCUACUUGAUGAAUAACAUCAACAUUUUAUACUCUAACAGCAUCUUUCGUUUAAAGACACCAAACUGUGCUGCAAAAUUCAUGAGAAGUGACUCAAGAGUUAAACAUUAUUAAAAUUUUAGACACAGGAAAACCAGGGGGCACAGGCUCAUAACUUGCAGGGGAUGCCACUUGUGCUCCUGUUCUAAACUGUGCAUUUGCUUUCUUUUAAUUAGCUAAUGACCUGGUUUAUUUAAUACCAAAUAUUUGACUAUAAAGCAGAUUAUCAAGAUGUAGAUUUAUCAUUUCCUAAGAUGUAAAAUACUGAAACAGGAGGACCAAGAGUCAACGUAUCUCUCCCAAAUAAAACACACUUUAACCCUUAAUAAAAUAAAUGCUUUAAACAACACAGAAAUACCUGUAUUUCCCUCUUGCCCAUUGUAAAGGACUCCCCUAUUUUUGUCUGCAUUUUCAUACCAUCUACUGGGCAGAUCCUGAACUACCCAACGACACAGCACAGGCCCUGCAAGGCUGCAUCCCAUGGCAGUUCAUCCCCAGCUGAGCCCCCCCACGAGCCAAGUUUUAUUCCCCGCAUUAGCAGCAAGCCACAAGCCAGUGCUUGCUAUGAAGCACAAGGGAGGUAUGAAACCACCAUCCCAUACUCCAAAUAUUUCCAGCGAGCACAUGGGGACACUGCAACCCAGCCAGAAAAAGCGUGAGGGGAAGAGAAGAGGAAGGCAGAGAGGAGGAGGAGAGGCAGCCGUCCCUCUGCCAGCAGCCUCAGUACAACCCGCCGCAUGCCGUCGCUCAGGCAGUUGAACCGAGGUGGGAGAAUAUUUUUCCCCAAUAUUACUGGCUGCUGAAGAGGAGCUACCACAUGGCUGUUCUCAGCCACUCAGUGCACAGUGUUUACUAUAAACAACAACAGUAAACAGAAACAGAGCCAAAAAUCAAAGCUGGGUACCCCGGAGCUGAGUCUCCACAUCCUGACUUCACCCAUGGAAACAGUUUAGUAUUCAGCUGCUGAACCUAAAACAUCCAAGGCCAACGAGAGGCAAGUUGCUCAGCACAUCCGAAACUUAGGCUGCCUGUUUAGAUUUGCUAUUUCUACCUGUAGUAGUCAAGACUCCAAACUGCUGCCAUGGUUUUAUACGGGAGCUUCAAAGAGCCUGUGGAUUAAACCUGAACGGCGUGCGGCAGGAGCCAGCCUGACACGGGAUUCACGACUCAAGAGUCCUCUUUGAUCCACCUAUGGGAAAGAAACGCCGUUCCCCAGGACGUAACAAGCUGCUGCAGAUGGGUCAAUAGCGCUGCCACUGCUGGCUCACAGGCUGCCAGCCAGGCGGCAUGGGUGAAACAGGACAGGAUUCCUGUUGCUCUCCUCCCAAUGUUGUGACCAUUUUGAGUAUCUGAAAAAGUUUCUCCAGGAAGUCCUCACCUUCGUUCAAUUUUUCUGACCAAAUUUUACCUCCCCCAAAAUCUGGCCAAUAGCUUGCAGCUCCUUCAAAGCAACAGACUCAUAGACUGCUGGCUGGGAUCACCCUCCCAGUGAGCAUGGCACCUUUCUAGUCUCUUCAGAACAGAAUAUCCCUUUAGAAUACAAAAAAAAAUUAUUAUAUUAUUUCAUGCUAAUUUAAGGACUACAUAAUCAACAAACCAGAAUGCAGAGUCCACAAGUGACAGAAGGUUGUAUGUGUCUUUUUGGGUAGCUUUUCUUUGUGAAUCUGGUAUGAGUUCAUCUAAGUACUGCUCCAGCUUGGCUGGUUGUCCUUGGAAAAUCUGUCAUUUUGGAUCGAGGAGGGUGCAAGCUCAAUGACACUGGAUAUUUUCAAGUUGACACUCUGGAAAACCUAAACCCAGGACUCACAACGGAGUUAGCUGGGAAGCUGUCUGAUUUAUGAAUGGUGAGAUUUAGCAAGCCUUGAAAACUUGGAAAAUCCCAAGGGACUGGGGGAUUACAAAAUUGUCAUGAUGGUUUGAGAAAGGAAGCCACGAACCCAGAUCAAAUGGUGGGAAGGAUAAUUGAGUUUCUACAGCUAAGCGUUGGCUAAACAAUGUAAUUAAUGGCUUUUGGCAUGGAAAGCAGGUCUUGCCAGACAAAUUUAUGGUCUUUGCUGUGGAGAUUGGAGCUGGUGAAAACAUCCACGCUGGUCCAGGCCAUGUCCGAGCAGUUUUAAGCAGGCACCUUGGCAGCACCAUGAGAUAGGGAGACUGAAUACAAGUCAGCGUGGAAAUGGUACCACCAAGGAAAUCAUUAAAUGCUCUAAACUAGGAAUGUUAAAUGUUACCUGCCUCUGGCUUCAUGACGGAUGUCCCUACCAACACCAGCACCUUGAGCUGAAGGAGAGAUGCUGUUCCUACUGGGACUAGAAAUUAGAAAGACAGAGCUAUGGAUUCAUUUUAUUAAAGAUGUAGAUGACAAUCAUAAAAUCUACAGUAACAUUUGCAGAUGAAAAAAAGACUGAGCAGAACAGGUUACUGCUGCAAAACCAUCAGGAUCAUGAAAUAGUCCCAGUCCAGCUGCUGUGUUUGAAGAGCCAUCCACAAAACCACACCCAAGAGCCAGGAAAACACGUUCCCCAGGAUGAGAGACUCUGUCUCACAAAGCAUCAUUCAGGGUGGCUUCAGAGUCAUUCUGUGCAUCUGCCUGACAUUGGGUUUAUAAAAGAAUAGCAAGAAGUCAGGAGUGACCUAGAUCUUUCACACAGCAUUGGAAAAGCUAUUACAGGAACACCGCGGCAGCUCUGCUGCCAGCUUCCAAUGAGGCCUGUAGGAGCACAAAAGAGAGUUGGAAGAAAAGCUACAAAAGUCUUCAGGGGGCUGGAACACAUCCUUGACUUCAGGUCAAGGAGCUCUUCACACUUGGCACAGAAAGCUGAAAGAUCUUCGCCGUGGCGUGCCCCUCUUGUGGGGAAGUGGCUGGAUGGUGCAAUGGGAUGGAGGGGCUGGGAAUGGAAACGUGGGUGAUGCAGAGUGGGAAGAGCUGCCAGUGUUGGGGGUGGCCUGACCAGGGCCAGGGAAACUGAGCACCUCCAGCCAGGCAGUGCUCCGAGUCACGUUUUUGGGCUUUACCCUUCAUUGCUGACCCUGGUGGAACAGGGUAAUUCCUGCACUGAAGCAGUGAUUAUAUUUAAAUACCACACACUGAGCUUCUGUUUUUAUCUGCAGAAAGACUUGUCGUGCCUUUCUGGGUUUUCCUUUCUCCAAAUUACUGCAGAUCCAUCCCACCUGGAGAUGGAGUGUGGUGGACCCUGCUUUCACCUAUGAUGGAAAGUCUCCACUGGCCCUGACCGAUGUCUUUUAACCAAGCACAAACCCUGGGAGGAAUCUGCUCCGUGGGCUGGCAGAGACCUGAGGGGUUUCCAUCUCACUGAAAGCACGUGGUUUGCCAUGUUCACCUGUGCGGGUGUCAUGGUGGAUCCCACCUGAUGCAGUGGUCCUCCUGGUCCCUUUCUGCUGGCAGCUGGGUCUUACAGGAUUGAAAUAGUUAGCCUCACUACAGUCUUUGGGCUCAGUAGAGAGUAUUUGGGUGAGACUGUGAUGUAGGACAGAUAAAGUAAGUGCAGUAAGUAAUUGUUACUUUUGGCUUUAAUUCUUGCAGCCCCUCUGUGGGUAGAAAUAGCUGCUCAGCCCAUUCAUCUCUUCCAAAUUAAAUAAAAUUAUUUGCUGUUUGCAUGUGA